rnacentral:tRNA from 1 species
GCUCCCGUAGCAUCAGCUGGAGAGAGCGCCGUCGGCAAUAAUGCUGGUGGAGGUCGCGGGUUCAACUCCCGUCGGGAGCC